rnacentral:rRNA from 1 species
GAACUUAAGCAUAUCAAUAAGCGGAGGAAAAGAAACCAACAGGGAUUGCCUCAGUAACGGCGAGUGAAGCGGCACAGGCUUUCAAAUAAAACGUCUGGCUACCCCACCACAUCGAUUAAAAUCCCCUUGCUUGCCUUCGCUUUCAAUCGUCCUCCGCGACAGGAACUCAAUGCCUUGCCUUUCCACGGUUACCGUUGGUCUCUGAAGUGAGCCCAUGCUUUUUCGUAUCCUAGCAAGCAGAAC